AGAUGUAUUCUUCAUGGGCUUAACAUUGAUCUAUGGAAUGUCUUGCCUUACUUGAGACCUGUAAUUCUGAGCAAGCUCCUCCUACAAUACGGUCCUUCAGUUUCAGUGAAAGCAAAAGUAUCUGACAAUGUUAAAAACGACCUUCCCUCAGUGUAGCACACAUGUACUAUAAAACCAUGAAUCUUGCUCUAAACAUUUUUGUUGUCCUGGCAUCAACUAUCUUUGGUAUGAAAAAAUGCUUCUGAUUUUGGUUUUCAACUUCAACUGCCCAUGUUUGGUGUAUUUUUCUUUUACUGUGUGAAUGUAAAUAUGUACAUUUCUUUUCUCACAGAGUGCAGAGGACAAACCGAAAAUGUGCGACAGUCUACAAGAGACUUGAUCGCUGUCGAUACCAUAGGUCAUCAACAGACAUUUCUCAGGAAUGCAUGAGAUAUUUUAAUCCAAUUGAAAAGUGUAAAACGUUAAUAUUUUUGGUUGGUCUACAAUACCAAUACUCUUGACUAGAACAAUUGAUUGUAGGCCUUCUUGUGACAAUAUAAUAUAAUUUAUCUGAAGAACCUGGUAGGGGGCAGCAUUUCACUGUAAAGUCCUCAGGCACCUCAAUCAGUACUAGCUACCAACUAACACAUAAAUGCCAAAUCAGUCCCUCCCUUAAGUUAACAAAACACGUUCAAUCUGAAAAGAAAAAGUCAUAGGCUUCACUAGAUUUAAGUCUCAAAGCGAAGAUGAGACAUAAGAAUUGUCAUUUCAAGAUUCAUAGACGAGUGCAUUCGCUCUGUUUCUCUUCACACCCAUCCCACUAGACAUGAAACAGUGGCUGGAGAACCUACUGAUUCUUAUAUUAUGUCUUGACUGCAGAGGAGAAGACACAGUUACUCAGAUGGCUGGAGAUGACACUGCUAUAGAGGGAGAGACAAUGACCCUUAACUGUGCAUUUGAAACCACUGACAGAAGUCCAUAUCUGUUCUGGUACAAGUAUGAAGAGAGGAAGUACCCUGAGUAUAUGCUGAAAAGUCAAGUUUUUAGUGAAGGGGAGAAUGCUGAGGAAUUUGAAGGAAGAUUUGAUGCUCAUCUCAACGUUGAUAGAAAAACAGUUCCUCUGAGGAUCUGGAAUGUGCAGCUCUCUGACUCUGCUGUGUACUACUGUGCUCUGAGGCCCAGAGUGACUGCAUGUGCUCUGAAUAAGAGCGUCUGCUAAAAAUGACUAAAUGUAAAUGUAAUGCAACUGCUCUACAAAAACACGUGGAAAGAAAGUGUCACAGUAGAUCAAGAGAGAAGCAUGGUUAAAAAUUAAGUAAUUCUUUUUUGCACAGGUAUAGAAAUUCAAACAUCAGAUUUCCAACUAAAGGAACCACAGUUCACAACAAGAUAAUUGA